UCGAAGCGAUUUCUAAGCUCCAUCGAAGAUUCAGAUCGAAGCUCCAUCGAAGCGAUUUCGAAGCUCCAUCGAAGAUUCAGAUCUAAACUCCAACGAAGAUUCCGAUCGAAGCGAUUUUGAAGCUCCAUCGACAACACCAUCUGCACUGGCAAGAGAUUCAGAGAAUCAGUGAUUUCCAGAAACUCAGAUCUGAACUUUAAUCUAUCAGCCACAAAUUUGGAGCGUUAUUUACAGAUUUCAAUUUACAGGUAAUU